rnacentral:lncRNA from 10 species
AGGAGAGAGGCUCAGAAGAAACCAGCCCUGCUGACGCGUUGAUCUUGGACUUCUAGCAUGCAGCCUGUGGCAUUUUGUUAUGGCAGCACUAGAAAGUAUGGUGGUUUUUUCCCUAACACCCUGCAGAGAGCUGGAGGGGAGAGGAAGAAGGCAUUUUCAAUCAUGAAACAUACAUGCGAACCUUCUAAUUGGAUUGCCAAGGUGAAAGAAAACUAAAGAAAUACCAGUGCAGAAAGGAAGUUCUUUAUUUUCAGGUUGCUCAAGCUAAAACAAUAAGCAGCAUUUCAUGGAUGACUGGCAUGUCGCCUUUUACUCCUCAAGGCAGACUCAAGAGUUUUCCCAGAAACAGAGGACGAGCCCCUUGGCCAUGCAGCCCUAAGCCAGGCUGAUCCAGCCUUGUCUCGCCCCUCUCUGCAAGAGACUCGUGGGUACAGGAUGAUUGAGGGGGCCCCAGCCUCCCCAGCAGCUGCUGACUUGCGCUUGGAAAUUCAAUCCUCUCAAGGCAAGAAUUUCUGACAUGACAUGGGAAAAGCUGAAGAAGUCAGUCUUUGGGGUGUGUUUUCAUCUAGGAGGUGGCUUGAGAUGGAUUCAUGGCAAAUCACAAUAAAUUAUUUAUCAGAUAAUAA